rnacentral:rRNA from 1 species
UUUGGUGGCGAUAGCGAAGAGGUCACACCCGUUCCCAUUCCGAACACGGCAGUUAAGCUCUUCAGCGCCGAUGGUAGUUGGGGGUUUCCCCUGUGAGAGUAGGACGCCGCCAAGC